rnacentral:rRNA from 1 species
GGUGGAGUUUUCAGCAGUCGACGGUACAGGGGACUUGGUUCCUUUGCUGACGGUGGCGGACGGGUGAGUAAUGUCUGGGAAACUGCCUGAUGUGGGGGGAUACCUACUGGAAACAGUUACUAAUGCCUAAUACCGUCACCCGACCGGUUAGGGGGACCUUCAGGCCUCUUGCCGUCACAUGUGCCCGGAUGCGCUUAGCAUUUUCGUGGGGGAGAGGUUCCCCUUCGCCACGAUCCCUAUCUGGUCUCAAACGAUGACGGUGCACACUGGAACUGAGACUGAGACCCGACCCCUACUCCAGGCGGCGGCGGGAG